AAGGACACUAUAGUCACAAUACAACUUUAGCUUAAUAAAGCAAUGUUGGUGCAUAGAUCAUGCCCCUGAAGUUUCACUGCUCAAUUCUCUGCCAUUUAGUGAUUAAACCACUUUUGUUUCUGGUUAUGCAGCCCUAACCACUCCUUCCCUGGCAGUGACUGACACAGCCUGCAUGAAAACACUUUAAAUCAGAUGUAACUUUAAAAGAUUUUAUCUUUUGCUCUGUAAAUGGAACUUUAAUUACAUACAGGAGGCUCCUGCAUGGUCUAGCAAGCUCUUAAGAGAGCAGAAGUUAAGAAAUUCUAAAUGAAACAGAAUUUGCAAUAAAGGACGUGUAAACAUUAUACGACUCUUUACAGGAAGUGUUAAAAAGGCUGUGUAAGUCACACACAGGGAGGUGUGGCUAGGGUUGCACAAACAAAGUGAUUUAACUACUAUGUGGUAGAAAAAUGAGCGGUGAGACAUUAAGUUGUUUUGGAGGCUAUAGUGUCCCGUUAAUUAAGAGAAUAUUAAUAUUCUUCUACCAUCUAUGAUGUACCCUGUACUACCCGCUAUAUUGGGAUUGCAUAUAUAUGUAUGUUUCUACAACUUGAUGCAACUCCAAGGAUGGGGAUUGUCCACCUGGCAC